rnacentral:rRNA from 1 species
AUUGAACGCUGGCGGCAGGCCUAACACAUGCAAGUCGAACGAGUGGCGGACGGGUGAGUAAUGUCUGGGAAACUGCCUGAUGGAGGGGGAUAACUACUGGAAACGGUAGCUAAUACCGCAUACCAUCGGAUGUGCCCAGAUGGGAUUAGCUAGUAGGUGGGGUAAAGGCUCACCUAGGCGACGAUCCCUAGCUGGUCUGAGAGGAUGACGAGCAACACGGGAACUGUGAGACGGCCCAGACUCCUACGGGAGGCAGCAGUGGGGAAUAUGGCACAAUGGGAGCAAGCCUGAUUCAGCCAUGCCGCGUGUAUGAAGAAGGCCUUCGGGUUGUAAAGUACUUUCAGCGGGGAGGCGUUACCCGCAGAAGAAGCGCCGGCUAACUCUGUGCCAGAAGCCGCGGUUAUAC